rnacentral:rRNA from 1 species
GACGAACGCUGGCGGCGUGCUUAACACAUGCAAGUCGAACGGAAAGGCCCCUUUGGGGGUACUCGAGUGGCGCACGGGUGAGUAACACGUGAGUAACCUGCCCUUGACUUCGGGAUAACUUCAGGAAACUGGGGCUAAUACCGGAUAGGAAUCCUUGCUGCAUGGUGGGGGUUGGAAAGCUUCGGCGGUUUUGGAUGGACUCGCGGCUUAUCAGCUUGUUGGUGGGGUAGUGGCUUACCAAGGCUUUGACGGGUAGCCGGCCUGAGAGGGCGACCGGCCACAUUGGGACUGAGAUACGGCCCAGACUCCUACGGGAGGCAGCAGUGGGGAAUAUUGCACAAGGGGCGGAAGCCUGAUGCAGCAACGCUGCGUGCGGGAGGACGGCCUUCGGGUUGGAAACCGCUUUCAGCAGGGGCGAAGCUUGUGGUGACGGUACCUGCAGAAGAAGCACCGGCUAACUACGUG